GGCCCCGUGCACCGUUGCCCGACUCCUGCUCGGGACAGACGUGCGGUCACUGCUUGGCGCUGGGGAACGUGGGAGCGAAAGGCAGGCGCCAUCGGGGUGGUCCGCACCGGCCGUGUUGGGUGCACCGCCCUGUCAGACGGGCGCCCGUCGGGAAGCGGCGCGCGAGCUGCCGACUCUGUCCGCUGCUUCUGUGCGUUCUGGGGGCGCCCCGGUAGCAAGGCCCCACUCCCCAAGGAGUGCGCCUAGACAUGUGAGAGAGUGACGCCCUUGGUAAGGAUUAUGGUCACAAUAAUGACACAUUCGCCAGCUUUGUAAGAGGUGUGCUUCCCACGCGUGCUCCCAUGAGGUAUUGGCGUAUCCUGGGCUGAAAGAAGUGACAGGAGUCUGUUCUUCAAGCUACUGAUCAACUUUUUCUUCAGUGGAGUUCCUGUGCACAGUGCAGACUCCUUGCUCCAAAGAGCUUUCCAUCUCAUUUCAAACAGAAUGCAAGAAUACAAAAGAGAUAACACCUAAAUUUGAAUGAGAGACUUCCUCAACCACAGUGUGCACUUCAGGGACAGAGGACUCCUGGGAAGGGACAGUAUCCAUCUCACGCAGAGCAGAGAAAGCCAGUCAGAAGAAGGGGCUGGAAAAGGUUCUGGACACAAGGUCUACAGGAAGGCAGAGAGACAGUGUAAAGAAGAAUGCUUUAAUGAUUAUGUGAAUUUUCUAAUUGUAAUAAAGUUCUUUGUCCAGUGUUA